ACCACUUUUUUUUUUUCGUUAUCCAUGAAUGUUGACUGUGAUAAGGGGAAUCCUAACCAUGAGUGCAUCUCUCUGUCUGGUUCUCUGCCUCUUUCAUUCCUCCUCUCCCCUCCUUUCUUUGCGCCCUUUGUUUUAUCUCAGGUGAAUUGUAAUCAUGUGAUCAAAAACGAGCACCCCCUUCCCCCUUAAAUGAAAAAAAAAAGGGGGGGGAACAAAAAGCAGUUUUGUGCAUAUAAAAAAAGAAAAGAAAAGAAGGAAAAGGCUUGUGUCUUCCCUUCUACCGUCACUCUUUAUCCGCGUCUCAACAAACUGACAUAUAGAGAAAAAUGCUCCAGGAGCGCGGAGACUCAGCCCGGGAGCUGUGGCGGGACUGGCCGGCUCCUGGAGCUUUAAACCGGACAGCUUCAGAGAGACACUCCGGGGAUUUCUCUCCCUGCUGUGCAGCUGAGGAUUUGUGGUCCGGCCUCGGUUUGACCUCGUUCCACCGUGGAGGAACCGCAGACCAGAACCGUCUGGACGGUGAUGUUCUCGUGUGCAGGGAAGGUUCUGCCGGACCACGUUCCCUCGGAGGAACAAAGUGGCUGAGAAGGAGCUUAAUUUGGAAGGAAGUCUGACACUGGACAACUCGGUGUCUACUGUUCAAUGCGUCCUGGUGUCGGCUCCCGACCAACAAGUCGCCUGUAGGAUAACUUCAUCCACCUCCGAGCUGAUGCCACAGACUGAAAGGAAGAAGCAGCCACUGAACGAGCCGCCGUCAUUCAUGUUUCUCUUUCUGGUGCAAAAGGUUUUAUAGAAACUGAUCGAGAUGCUUUUAAUGAACAGGAAGCCAGAAAAGAGAGAGAGCACAGGUACUGACGUGUGACACACACACACACACAAAAUACAAACCAGUUAAUGGUCACCAGGUAAAACUGGGGACUUUCACUGAGGCCAGUUUCCAUAGGAACACGUCUCCUGUGGCAUUUUUGGGGGAUGGAGCAAAGUGGAGAGACUCACCAGAGACACAGUGGUGUGUGUGUGUGUGUGUGUGUGUGUGUGUGUGUGUGUGUGUGUGUGUGUGUGUGUGUGUGUGUGUGUGUGUGUGUGUGUGUGUGUGUGUGUGUGUGUGUGUGUGUGUGUGUGUGUGUGUGGUGGGGGGGCACUAGUAUACAACAUUAAGUGCUCUUAUAGCAUGAGUCAGGGCGAGGGAGAGAUGGGAUUGAAAUGGUGUAAGACCCUGAACACAACACAGUGCAGUUGAUUUUAAGUAGAUUUUAAAUGAGGUGAAAAACACAAGUGAGGAAACGAGGAACACGUUGUACGUUUGCGUUUUCCUACUUAUUUAAUGUUUUCACUCAAUCUUAAAGAAAUAGUUUGUAUUGUCUGUUUUUUUUUUUUUUUGUCAUUGUAAAUUGAUAAAUCUUUAAAUCUGACAAAACAAGCAAAUCUGAAGACGUCACCUCAGAAAUAAUCAUCAGGUUAGCUGAUCAUUGCUAGCUGCAGCUAACUGUACAUAUAUCCACACGUCCCGUCUAUGCAGCCGUAUCGGACGUGCAUCAGUGUGCACGCCUGCGUCACACUUUGCUGUGGAAGUCUUUCACUGUAUCUCUGCAUCACUAACUCCUUUCCUAAUCCCACAAAUCACAGAUUAAUAGUCAGUCAUACGUAAUCUCUCACACUGAAAUAAGGAAGGUGGGGUCGUUCUGUAAUGAGCGACUUCCUGGAGAUCUCCUGACUGUUAAUCCCAAAAAAAGAAGAGAGAAAGACAAAGACAAGCAGGUUGGACGGGCGGAGACUGGGAUUAAGAUGCAAAAAGUGUCCACUUCCUGUUAAGCUUUUGGUAAUCGCCCCUGAUGAGACACUAUUACAUCAGCCACAAAAAGAAAUUACGCGUCCACUGUGAAUACGGGAGCUUCUUCUCUCCAGAUAUGGCCUGGCAGAUGUGCUGUCUACUGGAGCAAUUAUGCAAAGUGGUCUGACUCACUUUCUAUCAUAUGCUGUUCCUAACUGGUCACUGAAGACAGGAAAUGAACCUCACUGUCUAUAAAAGAUGUGUAGAAAAGUACCAGAUGCAUUCAAAGGCAAAUUGCAAAUUAAAGAUAAUAAGAGAAUAACCUUCCUACAUAGAUUCAGUCUGAUAAGAGAAAACAUUAGUGAUGUUGUUAACUCAAUAUAAGAACCUGCUGAAUCCCUCUCACUCUUCAAACUUUUAUUUUGUGCGUUUGUUUUUUCACGGAAAACUGAUCGAUACGCUCCCGGCUCUCACCUCUGCUUCGUCACGAGCCAACCCACAGAGAAGCAGUCAGCCGUGCAGAGAGUUUAUUCCCACGCUGCCGCCACGUCCCAGACAACAUCUAUAUGCUCCUAUUUUAAAUCUUUGCAACACAUAAACGUCCCGGUUCAUACGUAGAUAUAAACCAGUUGCUUAUAGAUCAGUUGGACCACAUCAUCAAUUUAUAAUAUGUUUUUUUAGUGUAUUUUAAAUCUGAUUUUAGGGUUAAAUACAGUUACUUUCCUCUCUGGUGUCUCUUCUCAUCUGCAGACCUGAACGAUGAAUGUUUGUUUACUGGAGAGAGAGAGAGAGAGAGAGAGAGAGAGAGAGAGAGAGAGAGAGAGAGAGAGAGAGAGAGAGAGAGAGAGAGAGAGAGAGAGAGAGAGAGAGAGAGAGAGAUCACCACCAUUGUGUCUGCAGGUGGUCGGCCAGUAUCAUACCUGUUACCUAGUUUAGCUGCUGCCUGGUCAGAGAGUUUUUUGUCAGUUUCUGAGACACGACUUGUUCGGAGGGACGUGAUCAAGGCAAAGCAGAUCAACCAAACAGAUUACAUUUCUCUCAGCAAUGAAUUUGUUCUGUACAUGAACUAAGAAGAUCAGUUUUACUAUAAGUUAAUAGAAGUUAUAAGAUCCUCCAUGAUAAUAGACUUUUGUUUUGCAUUGGCCUUAUUUGCUGUGAAUUUAAGGUUUAAUUGCAAACACACAGUUUGUAUUAAAGACCAGGAUCACAGCGCUCUUUAAAACUUUCUCCAUUAGUGUAAUGAGCUGAUAAUUCCCUCUGUUUACCUGCAGCAGGCACCAGGUGUCACGAGGCUUCACCUUUCCCUCUCUGAAGUCUUUAGAUACUUUUCUUUCUGGUUUGAUUUCCAGACUAACCCACAAAAACAGACCAAAAACCUGGAAAAAAAAAAGAAGGAGCGACCUCUUCGUGCGUGAUGUUAUCACAUCGCGUUUGUUUGAAGCGUAUCAACAAGUGCGCAACAGCAUCAUUGCCUUAAGGUACAUCUUCUACCUGCUGUGCACUGAUAUGCUUCCAGCUGAUGGUCUCACACGUGCUGCAGAGAUUUACAGUGUAAGUGAGAGCAGAGUGACUGUUCACUCGAUCACACACACGACACAGGAGUUUCCAUGAUGCCCGAGCUUCAGUCUGUCUGACGCAGUGCUUAUUCUGCUGCGAUCUCUGUGACAGCUUCUUAACCUCUGUCCAAGUUGUGAAAUGAGUUUAUUCAACAAAUUAAAAAAAAAACUUCAUCCUUCAAACUAGUGUUGUGUAGAUCUGCCGACACUGAAAGGCUAACUGAUGAUAAUUAACACUCACCCUCUAAGUCAGUUGUUGUUUUCUGUCUCUUGGUUGUGUUUUAAAUUUCCUUGUGCACCUUCACUUCUCAGAGUCCCUCUGUCACUGUCCAGGGCAAAGGUCCCACAUCCUUGGACUUGUGUGGUUUGCGAUCCCUUCCCUUUUUAGUUUCCUCCUCUAGUUUCUUCCUCAUCGCUUAUUCAUUGUUUCAUUGCUUUUGUUUCUCCCUUUUAAUCCUUUAUUGUCCUCCGCUGCCUCCUUCGCCGACUGUAAUCCCGUCUGUGCGCACUCUCCUGUGUGUGCUCAUACACCCCGAGCUGAAAAUGCUGUGUCAAUCUCCCCUCUGCAGAGCAUGAAGAGGGAGGGAGGGAGAGAGGAGAGGAUGGAGGGACGGAUGGAUGGAGGAGGAGGAGAGGAGAGGAAAAGAAGAGAAAAGGCAAAUAGAGAAAGGAUGAGAUGAGAGGGGCUCCUACUUUGUCUGUUGCUCUCUCUCUCUCUCUCUCUCUCUCUCUCUCUCUCUCUCUCUCAGCUUGUGUAGGUGUUGAACGCCUGAUGUGCCCAUGUGAGCGAGCAGAAACUCAUUUGAGUCAUGAUUUCCAGGCUCUCUGAGAGGAGCAACAGAGAUGAUGCUGUAACAGGUGGGAGAAGAAGGAAAACUAUGAUGUUUCGAGUUUACUCUCACGGUUUUAUGAAAACACCGCAGUGAUUACAAUACAGGGGCUUCACUGUAAAUGGGCCUUUUUACAUUUCCUCCCUCACAGCUGUGCCAUGGAUGGUUUCCAAGCCCCCUAUCGCCGGCGGAGCAGAGAGAGAGCUCGCUGUCGAAGCGUGUUAGUCUUUCAACACAGUCGAAACUCCAGAGCCCCACAGCGCUGUUCUGCACUGUUUCCUGAUCCGUCGCUUAUGAGCUGAACUUUCUCCUGCAGAGCCGAGAUGUUGCAGCGGGUUUCCUCUCACGUGUUGUGGUCUCUCCAUAAUGGCUGCGAGGUGGGAGGGUUGUUCGUCAGACGCCCUGUGGCUGAGCAGGGCUUCACAAUAAUAGUUUGAAGGAUGAAGUUUUGAGAAACUUUUGGUUUGAGGUCAUUCGGCUCGAUGACAGAGAAUAACUGAGCCCGUCGCUGUUGGACGGUUGUUGGACAUGACAUGUCUUCAGGUGACGGUGGAGAGAAUGACAGGAAACCAGAAAGGAGAGAAUCAGGGAACAGCAAGUAUCAAAUGUUACAGGUGAGAUAAAAGUACACACCUCAAGCACCUUAACCUCUAAAGGUCACCAAGGCACCGCGUCAACGAAACGUCUAAUUCAGAUCCAGGAAUGUUUCUCUAAAGAAUAUGAAAUGAUAUUUGAUUUUUAAAUGUUUUAUUGAGCCAAAGAAAAUAAACAUACAUACAGUCAA